rnacentral:misc_RNA from 1 species
UGUACCCUCACACUUCUGGUCUUUGGACUGGGAGCGGUGGACUUGGGUGUUGCUGCUUGACCGUGGCUCACCUCAAAAGCAUUAGUGCAUCUCCUGGUUGGACAUAGUACGGCGUGAUAAGUAUCUUCGCCGGCACCUCACUUCAGAGGGUGGCUGACCAGGGGCCCUGUGCUUUCCAACCGUCUUCGGACAAUGACUGACA